ensembl:lncRNA
UAACAAUGGAAAGCGGACAGAAGACACCGUACAGGUUUUCAACCAGAAUGUGCCCCCAACACGGGUUUGACUGGCUAAUGUAUGUCGAUCCCAAAUACAAAACACUGUACUGUGGCAUCGGCUGAGCCAUGUUCAACUUUUUUUAUGGGCCAGUUAAAUUCAUUUGAGAAAAAAUAUUUUUUAGAUGUGAGAUCUUUAAGGAGGUUGUGAGUAAUAUUAGCAAAAACAGCCGUGGAAAUGUGUUCACGAGUGGCACUCACCCUGAUGAGUCGGUGCCAGACGAGAUAAAGCUGAGGGGCCGUGGGCAAGCCGAGGUCAGUAGACAUCCUAAUCAUGCACUAAUCUCUGAUGUUCUAGUUCAGCACUGCGAUUACAAAUGGAAAGAAAGGAUCCCAGGGCCAGGCAGGGAGGGGAUUAAAUGAUCAGCACUCGAACAGGGCACCCGUUCUUCUCUUUCCACUGGUUUCACAGCGUGUCUCACUGGAUCAUGUUUCAUUGGUGUCCGUCAACAACUGCAAAGACAAGAGAGGACGACAGAGGAGGGACAACCCGUUAAAUGCUUUCUACCCGAGGACAACUACAGGCCUCAACAUUUCCAACAGCAGCUGGCUAACACACAAGAAAAUGUUCAGAACAAACUUUCUGGCAUCUACUCGGCUUUCCAAAGCUUGGGCUCGUUUCCACAGACAGCACGGAAACCCCAGCGGGCGCCUGAUGACAGCACAUUUGAAAGCAACAGUAUCCAUCUCUGGAGGUCUUUGUGUGUCCCUCUCUCACUUUCUCCGACUGUAAUUCAUGUUUGUUUGGUGGGAUCCCCACCAAAGUUCAACGGCCACGUGACAUCUUCAGGGCAGCACACAAUGAAGGCUACAAAAGUGCAAUCUCGGGUCUGAAAGGAGGAAGUGCACUUGGAACGGAGCUGAGUAAAUAUAGGAAGUGGCCCCGUCGUGAUCGUCUUUGCAGCGAAACAAAAGCACUCAUCCUGUUCUCGCUCGGCAGUGCUGACGCGCAAACUCAACAAAUCUGCCGAGUCAACAGCAUCUGAGUCUUCACAGUAGUUAAUCACAACACUGGACGGAGGACUGAAAGGCCGAGGCGGGUGAACACAUGAAGCUCUUUGAACAGCAUACAGGAAGUUCAUAGCAGCUACAGGACAAUCGUUGGCACUGCUUGCUGGGACACUCUAAUGGAGAUAAACUGGAGCGUCAUUUAUAUAAUUACACUCACGCACACUUGCCAAAAAAACGUAAGUCACUGACCGACCAUAAAGAGUCAGAAGGUUGUGAAACUGGUGAGCUGGAUCUGAGUCACAAAUCCCACCGUCAUUUGACUUCAGGCGUCAAUGUAACCGUCCCAUCAUUAUGGG